CUAAGCCGUAAGUUUUUGUUACAGCUGGCACACCUGCUUGCAAACUAGAAAAUCUGAUUCUAGUAGAAAGUGGACUAAGUCUUAAGAGAGAUAAGCCGGUCUUUAUACACUGGCCCUACUUCGAAUUCAGUCAGUGGCCAGAUGCAUUGUAAGCAAUUCCAGUCCCAGCUGCUGAGGUGGCGUAGUCAGCCCUACCUAAGUAUUGAACAAAACCAACCAUUUGUAAAAUAUUAUCCUAUCCUGCAUAUUAAUUAAGACCACUUAUUAGAUCAAGGUUGGCAUACAUAGCAUAGGAAGGUGGAGCUUUGGUCGUGGACAGUAGGGGAGACAAGUAAAAUAAUGAGUCAAAUAAUGAGUAGAGAAGGCAAGCCCAAGAGUGUAAGAGCACAAGAUGAAGCAUGGCCUUGGCAUAUGAGAUUUGGCCAUUUGCACUUGAUAAAAGAAGAUGGAAAAAGGGAUGCCCAAACCAAAUCAACCUGUUCAGCAUGUAUUUUAGGAAAAGAUAG
rnacentral:lncRNA from 1 species